rnacentral:rRNA from 1 species
AAGAAACUAACAAGGAUUCCCCUAGUAACUGCGAGUGAAGCGGGAAGAGCUCAAAUUUAAAAUCUGGCGGUCUCUGGCCGUCCGAGUUGUAACCUGGAGGAGGCUUUUCCGUGUCGGACCGUGUACAAGUCUCCUGGAAUGGAGCGUCAUAGAGGGUGAGAAUCCCGUCCAUGACACGGACGCCCGAUGCUUUGUGAUAGUCUCCCGAAGAGUCGCGUUGUUUGGGAAUGCAGCGCAAAAUGGGUGGUAAAUUCCAUCUAAAGCUAAAUAUUGGCGAGAGACCGAUAGCGAACAAGUACCGUGAGGGAAAGAUGAAAAGCACUUUGGAAAGAGAGUUAAACAGUACGUGAAAUUGUUGAAAGGGAAACGCUUGAAGUCAGUCGCGUCCCGGGGAACCCAGCCUGGCCUCGGCCUGGUGUACUUUCCUCGGGACGGGUCAACAUCAGUUUCGGGCGGUGGAUAAAGGCGAGGGGAAUGUAGCGUUGUUUCGGCGACGUGUUAUAGCCCCUCGUUGUAUACACCGUCGGGGACUGAGGACCGCAGCACGCCCUUGUGGCCGGGGGUUCGCCUCACGUACCGUGCUUAGGAUGUUGGCAUAAUGGCUUUAA